rnacentral:rRNA from 1 species
GUCUAUGGCCAUGCCACCCUGAACAAGCCUGAUCCCGUCUGAUCUCGGAAGCUAGGUAGGGUUGAGCCUGGUGAGUAUUUGGAUGGGAGACCACCUAGAAAGACCAGGUCCUAUAGGCG